AUUGAACGCUGGCGGAAUGCUUUACACAUGCAAGUCGAACGGCAGCACGGGGGCAACCCUGGUGGCGAGUGGCGAACGGGUGAGUAAUACAUCGGAACGUGCCCAGUCGUGGGGGAUAACGUAGCGAAAGCUACGCUAAUACCGCAUACGAUCUCUGGAUGAAAGCGGGGGACCGCAAGGCCUCGCGCGAUUGGAGCGGCCGAUGGCAGAUUAGGUAGUUGGUGGGGUAAAGCUCACCAAGCCGACGAUCUGUAGCUGGUCUGAGAGGACGACCAGCCACACUGGGACUGAGACACGGCCCAGACUCC
rnacentral:rRNA from 1 species